AUUGAACGCUGGCGGCAUGCUUUACACAUGCAAGUCGAACGGUAACAGGCCGCAAGGUGCUGACGAGUGGCGAACGGGUGAGUAAUGCAUCGGAACGUGCCCAGUCGUGGGGGAUAACGCAGCGAAAGCUGCGCUAAUACCGCAUACGAUCUAUGGAUGAAAGCGGGGGACCGUAAGGCCUCGCGCGAUUGGAGCGGCCGAUGCCAGAUUAGGGAGUUGGUGGGGUAAAGGCUCACCAAGCCAACGAUCUGUAGCUGGACUGAGAGGACGACCAGCGAUACUGGGACUGAGCCACGGCCCUGACUCCGACGGGAGGCAGCAGUGAGUAAUUUUGGACAAUGGGCGCAAGCCUGAUCCAGCAAUGCCGCGUGCAGGAAGAAGGCCUUCGGGUUGUAAACUGCUUUUGUACGGAACGAAAAGGCUCUGGUUAAUACCUGGGGCUCAUGACGGUACCGUAAGAAUAAGCACCGGCUAACUACGUGCCAGCCGCCGCCGUAACAC
rnacentral:rRNA from 1 species